CACCAUACUCUUAGACCUCUCUCUCUUUUCACUCUCGUAUUCUAUGCCUUCCUAAAAUUGUUGCCACCACACCGGAAAUCGCCUCUGGCUGCGGCGCGGCCCAGAACAAACCCAAACCACCAUCAAUUAACUCCUUUAUUCACACUCUCUUCAUUUCUGUAACUUGAUUAAUCUAUAACUCACCCCAGGGCCUCAAAUCAUAAGGGAAAACAUAAACGCUAACUUUCUUAGAACUGAAAGUAAACCCUAACUACUUCAUGAUUCAAUCAACAAGGGUAAAGGUUACAACCUGAUUGAUGCACAUAACAAGGUGGUGAAAAUAAAUUGAAGAGAAACUGAGGGAUUGGACACCUACUAAUGAGACAGAUUUGUCUCGGCCGUUGUUGCAAAGCGAAGUAAAAUCAUGGAGAUAAGAAAACCAGAGGAAAUCGUUAUUCCCUUAGUUUGUUCCAAUUUCAAAUUGUCCUCUUCUUCUUCUUUAUUCUUUUUUAUUUAUCAUAUUUUGCUUCUCUUGUUGUUAUUGUUGAGUUUAGGAUGUUGUAGUAGGUGUGAGUGAAAAUAGAUUGAAGGGUGUGCAGGGCGAUGAUGAUGAGGUCUAGCUCGAUUCUCUCAGAGCUUCAAGGUGAAGUUUUGAUGAGUUUUGUGGAGAGCUUAAGGGUACUAUGGUGGGUCAAAAAUGAUGCAAAGAUGAUGGCAUGGUGAGACUAUGAGCUUAUGAUGAGUAAUGUGAAGUCAAGGUGAUGUUGACAUUGUUUGGUCUUGAUGUUGCAAGUAUUGAGGCAUAGUAGGCUGGUGCAAGUCCCUUUUUGUAGGUUGGGCAUGAUUCUUUGACAUGAGCAUUGGAUGCAUGGCCUUGAACAUUAGAAGGUACAUUGUGCAAUGAUCAUGAUGAAGAUUGGUGAAAUGGAGGAUCACGAUUAAGAAGAAUAGGUUUAGGGUCAACUUAGGGUCAAACUUUGGUCAACUAUUUGACCAAAAGUCGACAUUUAACCAAAAGUCAAUUGUAGGUCAAACUUGGUUUUUUUUCAUGUAUUCUUCCAUUUUUCAUAUAAUUGUACUUGUAUUUGACUUGGAAUUUUAACUUGUAUUGUAACUUGGCAUUGAUUUGUAAUGAUAACUUGUUUUUCAAGUAA